GAAAUGCGAUAAGUAAUGCGAAUUGCAGAAUUCAGUGAGUCAUCGAAUCUUUGAACGCACAUUGCGCCCUUUGGUAUUCCGAAGGGCAUGCCUGUUCGAGCGUCAUUUAACAACCAUCAAGCCUGGCUUGUCCUUGGACCUCGUGUCGUUCCCGGCAGGUCUUAAAGAUAACGGCGGCGUUUACCGGACCCUAGAUACACCGAGCUUUCCAGGCAUGUAUCCCGGUGGUCGGUAGGCGUGGCCUCCCCAUUUAUAAUUUUCAGGUUGACCUCGGAUCAGGUGGGAAUACCCGCUGAACUUAA
rnacentral:misc_RNA from 1 species